rnacentral:rRNA from 1 species
UACAUGUGGGGCAAGCGUUGUUCGGAAUUACUGGGCAUAAAAGAUGCGUAGGUGGUUUGUUAAGUCAAAAGUGAAAUCCCGCGGCCCAACCGUGGAACUGCCUUUGAUACUGGCGAACUUGAAUGCAUAAAGGAUAAAAAGAACGAGCAGUAUAGCGGUGAAAUGCGUAGAUAUUGCUCGGAAAACCAGAGCCAAAGGGGCCCUACUAGUACGUAACUGACACUGAGGCACGAAAGCGUAGAAAGCAAACAGA